rnacentral:lncRNA from 1 species
ACGCAAGAGCCCGCUCUCACUUUUCAGCGGCAGGCGAAGGGGGCUGAGGAAAGGAGGUGGGUCUAGGCAGGGGAAAUUGGGGUGCCACCAGACGGAGACAGCUUGGACUACCAGAUCAAGCACUCUUUUGGAAGAGGGUAAUCUCUCUCCAAAAACUGAGGACACUUACCUUCCCCAUAUAUUGAGUCCAGCUGUGUUUGGUGGCCCAGUACUAAUUUCAAGAUGCCAGGACGUUCCAGUUCAAAUUCAGGUUCAACUGGUUUCAUCUCCUUCAGUGGUGUAGAGUCUGCUCUCUCCUCCUUGAAAAACUUCCAAGCCUGUAUCAACUCUGGUAUGGACACAGCUUCUAGUGUUGCUUUGGAUCUUGUGGAAAGUCAGAUGAAGUGAGUAGUGAAUAUAGUAUGGACAAGGCAAUGGUUGAAUUUGCUACAUUGGAUCGGCAACUAAACCAUUAUGUAAAGGCUGUUCAAUCUACAAUAAAUCAUUGAAAGAAGAACGUCCAGAAAAAAUACCAGAUUUAAAAUUAUUGGUAGAGAAGAAAUUUUUGGCUUUACAGAGCAAGAAUUCUGAUGCAGACUUUCAAAAUAAUGAAAAAUUUGUACAGUUUAAACAACAGCUGAAAGAACUAAAGAAGCAAUGUAAGUCAACAUGCU